CGAAGGAUCCAAGCGUUGUCCGGAUUUACUGGGUUUAAAGGGUGCGUAGGCGGACUUUUAAGUCAGUGGUGAAAGCCUGUAGCUUAACUAUAGAAUUGCCAUUGAAACUGAAAGUCUCGAGUGUGGUUGAGGUAACUGGAAUAUAUCAUGUAGCGGUGAAAUGCUUAGAUAUGAUAUAGAACACCAAUUGCGAAGGCAGGUUGCUGAGCCAUUACUGACGCUGAGGCACGAAAGCGUGGGGGAUCAAACAGGAUUAGAUACCCUGGUAGUCCACGCCGUAAACGUUGCAUACUCGAUCUUAGCGAUACACAGUUAGGAUCCAAGCGAAAGCGUUAAGUAUGCCACCUGGGAAGUACGAUCGCAAGAUUG
rnacentral:rRNA from 1 species